rnacentral:rRNA from 1 species
CCUACGGGUGGCAGCAGUGGGGAAUAUUGGACAAUGGGCGAAAGCCUGAUCCAGCCAUGCCGCGUGUGUGAAGAAGGCCUUCGGGUUGUAAAGCACUUUCAGUGGGGAAGAAAGCCUUGGGGCUAAUACCCUCGAGGAAGGACAUCACCCACAGAAGAAGCACCGGCUAACUCCGUGCCAGCAGCCGCGGUAAUACGGAGGGUGCGAGCGUUAAUCGGAAUUACUGGGCGUAAAGCGCGAGUAGGCGGUCUGAUAAGCCGGUUGUGAAAGCCCCGGGCUCAACCUGGGAACGGCAUCGGGAACUGUCAGGCUAGAGUGCAGGAGAGGGAGGUAGAAUUCCCGGUGUAGCGGUGAAAUGCGUAGAGAUCGGGAGGAAUACCAGUGGCGAAGGCGGCCUUCUGGACUGACACUGACGCUGAGGUGCGAAAGCGUGGGUAGCAAACAGGAUUAGAUACCCGUGUAGUC